rfam:Brachypodium distachyon strain Bd21 chromosome 2, whole genome shotgun sequence.
AUAUUACUCCCUCCGUCCCAUAAUUCGUGUCGAAAUAUUACAUGUAUCUAGACGCUUUUUAGGAAUAGAUACAUCCAUUUUUUGGGCAAAUUUUAGACAAGAAAUAUGGGACGGAGGGAGUAUUUA